UACGGAGGGUGCGAGCGUUGUCCGGAAUCAUUGGGCGUAAAGCGCACGUAGGCGGAUAUUUAAGUCAGGGGUGAAAUCCCGGGGCUCAACCCCGGAACUGCCUUUGAUACUGGGUAUCUCGAGUCCGAGAGAGGUGAGUGGAAUUCCGAGUGUAGAGGUGAAAUUCGUAGAUAUUCGGAGGAACACCAGUGGCGAAGGCGGCUCACUGGCUCGGUACUGACGCUGAGGUGCGAAAGCGUGGGGAGCAAACAGG
rnacentral:rRNA from 1 species